rnacentral:misc_RNA from 1 species
GUGAAUAAUUGUUUACAUGUCCCAAAGAGAGAGAAAGAGAAAGAGACCUUCUUGUUUGUCAAGAUCUAGGGUUUCCUAUCUCCUCUUUUUUCACAGACAACUGCAGAACCCAUCUUUGGUUGGUCGUUUCUCUAUUUGAUGAAGUUUUCACUUGCCAAGAUCGAUACCUCGAGUCUUCUAAACAACAUUUUUUUUUCUCUGUCCUGCCAUGGAGCAAGACGAGAUAAGCUACUUUGAUUAAUUAUGGUCACUCCUGAGUGGCCCUAAUCCCUAGUUAAUUCAUUUUUAGUUCUGGUGAAUCUCUAACCCUAAAGAUCUCUUCUCAAGCUCUGUGUCUGUCGCUCAUGAGAUUGAACUUAUUUUAGUCUUAGGUUUGGAAGGAAAGAAAGAAAGAAAAGAAGCAGAGAGGCGAAAAAGAAAUAUGGAGGGAAGUGACCAAACUGGAUGCUCCAAGACAAGACAAAAUCAAGAUGAGAGUGAGAGUGGAGAAAAUGAUGAAGAUGGACAUAGGCCUAAAAAUGGAGCAAGUUCCAGCAAUAGCACCGUUGAAGAGAGCGACAAGAAGCCUUCAGUGAGGCCUUAUGUCAGAUCCAAGAUGCCGAGGCUUCGAUGGACUCCUGAGCUUCAUCUUUCCUUUGUUAAAGCUGUGGAAAGACUUGGUGGACAAGAUAGAGCAACUCCUAAAUUGGUUCUUCAGCUGAUGAAUGUCCAUGGGCUGAGCAUUGCUCAUGUCAAGAGUCAUUUACAGGUUAUAUAUUUCACAGAAGACUUGCCUUGAAAAUAAAUCAGUCUGUUUGGUUUUGUAUCUUGAGAUGUUUCGAUUGUUCUAUUAUUAUUUACGAUUUUGCUAUUUGCGUUUGCUGAUUUUCAAUAGAUGUAUAGAAGCAAGAAGAUCGAUGACCCAAGUCAAGGUAAUUAAAGUGCUUUAAUUUUCCAAUAUUAAUUUCUGUUAUGCCUGAUCAUGAUCAAGAAAAAAAAUUAAAGGAUAUGUUUAAUUGGAUUACUAAUGCAUGAAGGUGACCUUUACAUGACAGUCAUGGCUGAUCAUAGACAUCUUGUGGAAAGUGGAGAUCGCAAUAUUUAUAACCUCAGCCAACUUCCCAUGCUACAAGGAUACAACCAACGCCAUGGUUCCAGCUACAGAUAUGGAGAUGCUUCUUGGAAUGCUCGCGAAAACUUUGUUUAUAAUCCUCAUUUGGGUCCGUGUUUAGUCGACGAAACCAGACAAGGAUGUUAUGGGUCAGUGGCCGAGAGGAUCUUUGGAGGAAAUAAUAAUAGCAGUUGGAUCAAUUGCAAGUUCCAAACCGGCGCUUCCUCCUUUCGUUCUCAGUACUCCAGUUGGAAAACGGAAGAACAGCUGAAAGGUGAACUACGACGACCGUCUCACAAUUCAAAAUUCUGGCAAACCCUAUCAAGUUCAAGCUUUACUGAGCUGAACCCUGAAGCACAACUUCUGAAAGCCAAAGUAGGAGAAAGCACUCUUUUCAAUAGAAGUAAUGUUAAUAUCUUUUCAGAUAUGAAAUCAGCAACUAAUCUACAAGAGUUGAAGUCCCUGAAAAGGAAGGCUACAGAUUGCAAUCUUGAUUUGGAUCUUUCACUGAAGCUAACACCAGCAAAUGAUAGUAGCCAGAGAAGUUCGGAGGAAGUUGAGGCUGAUAGUGACUUAUCUUUAUCUCUGUACUCACCAUCAUCCUCAAAGCUUAGCAGAUUGAAGGGACUAGGACGGGAUGAUAAUAUUAAUAAAGAACAUGCAAAAAGGGCAAGUACUCUGGAUCUGACUAUAUGAAUGAGACAAUUCUAAGUGAGAUCUUGAGGUACUUGCUCAAAAUAAUGCAACUCAUGAUUGUCUUUUGCUACCAUACAAUUUAACAGCCACAUUUCUUUGCCCCUUUUUGACCCUAAUAUAAUUUGCUCUUUCUGCACUAUCUCAUAUUAGAUAUUGGAAUUUUUCAUAGAAAGCAUUUAUAUAAAUAUUGUUGCGAUUUGGCCUGUAGAAUUAGAAUCUGAUCAAUGAAGCAGAACAAACAACACACUUUCCAAGUUAUUAAGGCAAUCCUUGCAUGUUCUAUUAAUCUUUCAGCUUCAUCACUAAAUAACACAUUUACAAUGAUACUAGCAAUCUUCGAAUUGUAAUAAUUUUAGAAGUUAAGGUUUAGAGACAGUCCAAAAUAUAUAUCUGAGUACAUGCCUUAUUUUUUA